CAGGCUGCCCAUUUGGGAAAUCAGAGGGAAAUGUGGAAAGUGAUGGGAAUUGCCAUUGCCUUCAGAAAGUGUUGAUAUUAUUAUUUCUGACAUUCCAUUUGGGAAAAAGUUUAAGUUAGGAAAAGACAUCAAAAGCAUUCUACAAGAAAUGGAAAGAGUGCUUCAUGUUGGCGGAACCAUUGUAUUGUUGCUUAGUGAAGAUCACCACAGGCGCCUUACAGAUUGUAAAGAGAGCAACAUCCCUUUCAAUUCCAAGGACAGUCACACAGAUGAACCUGGAAUUAAAAAGUGCUUGAAUCCUGAAGAAAAAACUGGUGCAUUCAAGACAGCGUCAACUUCAUUCGAAGCCAGUAACCACAAAUUCUUAGACAGAAUGUCACCAUUUGGCUCCUUGGUACCAGUGGAAUGCUACAAAGUUAGCCUUGGAAAGACAGAUGCGUUCAUAUGUAAAUAUAAGAAGUCGCACUCUUCUGGACUGUAGCAGGCUUGCUGCCAUCAGCCGGGUUCAGGCCCUUGUAAGUUAGCUGUACAGC
rnacentral:lncRNA from 1 species